UUGGUUUGAUCACAUACAGUAAAAUUUAUAAACACUUGAGUAUUCAGUUGAUGGUUCGGGGAGUAUGUAGGUUGUAUUCCUACGGUUUCUAACAACACUUCAGUCUGGCCCUCAAGAAUGGCACAGUUGACUUAAAAGUGGGCCCUAACUCCUGUGUCAAGCAAGUUUUUUUUUUUUGUUUGUUUUGUUUUGUUUUUUCGAGACAGGGUUUCUCUGUGCAGCCCUGGCUGCCCGUGAACUCACUUUGUAGACCAGACUGGCCUCGAACUCAGAAAUCCGCCUGCCUCUGCCUCCCGAGUGCUGGGAUUAAAGACAUGCACCACCAUGCCUGGCCCAAGCAAAUUAUUUUAAGUUACCCAGUAGUUUGGGAAAAGGGCAUCAUUAAAAUGUCAGCUCUUGAUCCCUUUGUCCUUCCUUAUUGAGACAGAAUAUCUAUGUCGCCCCGACCGUCCUGGAGUCUCCUAUUUAGACCAGGCUGGCCUUGAACUCCGAUCUACCUGCUUCUGCCUCCCAAGUUCUGUGAUAAAGGUGUGCUCCACCAUUUCUGGCUACCCUUUUGUACUUUUUAACCUACUCCAGUUAAGGCAGUAGUCUCAACCUGGGAUCAGAAUAUAAUCCUGUAUAUCAGAUAUUUACAUUACAAUUCAGAAGAGUGGUCGAGUUAUGAAGUAGCAAAGAAAUGUACGAUUGGAAAUCAACACAACGCGAAAUGUAUUAAAGGGCCUAAGCAUUAGAAAGAUUGGGAACCAUUGAUUUAUAGUGUGCAAGAAUUCACUUGGGAGCUGGGCAGUGGUGGUGCAAUGCCUUUGAUCCCAGCACCUGAGGCAGAGGCAGGUGGAUCUCUUGAAUUUAAGGCCAGCCAGAAUUCUGGAGAAUCCUUGUACCAGGAAUGGGGUUGGACAGGAGAAUUCACUUUGGAAGGGCCUCAAAACAAUGUCCUGGGCCCCUUCUCCAGUGAUUCCCCGUGAGAGGAUACAUUAAUUUGCAGCUCUAACAUGCUCAGGAUGCUGAAACAUGACUUUGGGGCAAUCAUUUCUGCUCAAGGUUGCUAAGCUGUUACUAUGCUUCCUGUUACCUGGGCCCCACCCCAGGAACUCCGGUUUUCUCACAGAAAUUUGUCAUACUUUUUUUUUUCUGGUGUGAACUUGAUUUAAAAAAAGUCAAUACCGUUUAAGCAGAUUGAUCAUCAUUAGCAGAUUUAUGAAUAGGUUCAUGCAUAAAACUUAAAACUUUUUAGUAACUUCUGGACAAAAUUCUAUGUUUCUACCAGAAUUUGUAUUUAUUAGCCUAUACUUGAGCCCCCAAACUCAGGACCACAGGCUAUGAG
rnacentral:lncRNA from 1 species